rnacentral:tRNA from 1 species
CCACGUCCUGGAACACCCGGUCCAGGUUCACCUCCUGCUGGUAGCCGGUGCCGAGCACGGCGGUCUCCUGCAUGCCGGUGAUCGCGAGCACCGGGGCGUGGUCCA